rnacentral:rRNA from 1 species
CCUACGGGCGGCAGCAGUGGGGAAUAUUGGGCAAUGGAGGAAACCCUGACCCAGCAACGCCGCGUGAAUGAUGAAGGCUUUCGGAUUGUAAAGUUCUUUUCUCAGGGACGAAGAAAGUGACGGUACCUUAGGAAUAAGCCUCGGCUAACUACGUGCCAGCAGCCGCGGUAAUACGUAGGAGGCAAGCGUUAUCCGGAUUUACUGGGCGUAAAGGGCGCGUAGGCGGGUUGGCAAGUUAGUAGCGUAACCCACAGGCUCAACCUUUGGACUACAUCUAAAACUGUUGGUCUUGAGUGCAGGAGGGGCAGACGGAAUUCCUAGUGUAGCGGUGGAAUGCGUAGAUAUUAGGAGGAACACCAGUGGCGAAGGCGGGUUGCUAGACUGUAACUGACACUGAGGCACGAAAGCGUGGGGAGCAAACAGGAUUAGAUACCCUGGUAGUC